rnacentral:rRNA from 1 species
GACGAACGCUGGCGGCGUGCUUAACACAUGCAAGUCGAACGGAAAGGCCCUGCUUUUGUGGGGUGCUCGAGUGGCGAACGGGUGAGUAACACGUGAGUAACCUGCCCUUGACUUUGGGAUAACUUCAGGAAACUGGGGCUAAUACCGGAUAGGAGCUCCUGCUGCAUGGUGGGGGUUGGAAAGUUUCGGCGGUUGGGGAUGGACUCGCGGCUUAUCAGCUUGUUGGUGGGGUAGUGGCUUACCAAGGCUUUGACGGGUAGCCGGCCUGAGAGGGUGACCGGCCACAUUGGGACUGGGGUACGGCCCAGACUCCUACGGGAGGCAGCAGUGGGGAAUAUUGCACAAUGGGCGGAAGCCUGAUGCAGCAACGCCGCGUGCGGGAUGACGGCCUUCGGGUUGUAAACCGCUUUCGCCUGUGACGAAGCGUGAGUGACGGUAAUGGGGAAAGAAGCACCGGCUAACUACGU